AUCAAACGCUGGCGGCGUGCCUAACACAUGCAAGUCGAACGAGAAGUGGAGCAAUCCAUGAGUACAGUGGCGAACGGGUGAGUAACAACGUAGACUAACCUGCCUUCGAAGUGGGGGAUAAACCUCGGGAAACCGGGGCUAAUACCCGCAUAAGAUCCUAAGGGUGCAAUUCCCAUGGGACCAAAGGGGUAAGGACGCUUGAAGAGGGGGUCGGCGGCUGAUUAGGCUAGUUGGUGAGGUAACCGGCUCACCAAGGCGAAGAUCGGUAAGCCGGCCUGAGAGGGCGCACGGCCACACUGGAACUGAAACACCGGGUCCCAGACUCCUACGGGGAAGGCAGCAGUGGGGAAUUUUGCGCAAUAGGGGGAAACCCUGACGCCAGCAACGCCGCGUGGAGGAUGAAGCCCUUUGGGGGCGUAAACUCCUUUCCGAUCGGGACGAUUAUGACGGUACCUGGAUGAAGAAGCACCGGCUAACUCUGUGCCAGCAAGCCGCGGUAAUACAGAGGGUGCAAGGCGUUGUUCGGAAUUAUUGGGCCGUAAAGGGCGCGUAGGGCGGUGCCGGUAAGUCCACCCGCUGAAACCUCUGGGCUUAACUCAGAGCCUGCAGGCGAAAACUGCCGUGCUUGAGUGUGGGGCAGAGGUGCGUUGGACAUUCCCCGGGUGUAGCGGGUGAAAUGCGUAGAUAUCGGGAGGAACACCUGUGGCGAAAAGCGGCGCACUGGACCACAAACUGACGCUGAGGCGCGAAAGCUAGGGGAGCAAACAGGAUUAGAUACCCUGGUAGUCCUAGCCCUAAACGAUGAUUGCUUGGUGUAGUCCAUGGUACCCAAUCCGGCUGUGUCGAAGCUAACGCGAUAAGCAAUCCGCCUGGGGAGUACCGGUCGCAAGGGCUGAAAACUCAAAGGAAUUGACGGGGGCCACGCCACAAGCGGUGGAGCAUGUGGUUCAAUUCGACGCAACGCGAAGAACCUUACCUGGGCUCGAAAUGCAGUGGACCGGGGUAGAAAUAUCCCUUUCCGCAAGGACUGCCUGCAUAGGUGCUGCAUGGCUGUCGUCACCGGCUCGUGUCGUGAGAUGUUGGGAUUAUAGUCCCGCAACCGAGCGCAACCCUUAUCCCUAGUUGCCAAUCGGGUCAAGGCCGGGCACUCUAGUGAAAAACCGCCCCGGAUAACGGGGAGGAAGGUGGGGAUGACGUCAAGUCCUCAUGGCCUUUAUGUCCAGGGCUACACACGUGCUACAAUGGUCGGUACAAACCGUCGCAAACCCGCGAGGGGGAGCUAAUCGGAAAAAGCCGGCCCUCAGUUUCGGAUUGGAGUCUGCAACUUCGACUCCAUGAAAGCUGGAAUCGCUAGUAAUCGCAGAUCAGAACGCUGCGGUGAAUACGUUUCCGGGCCUUGUACACACCGCCCGGUCACAUCACGAAAGUGGACUGCUACUAGAAGUCCGGUUGAGCAAACCCGCAAGGAGGGCAGCCGUCCCAAGGUAUGGUUCAUGAUUGGGGUG
rnacentral:rRNA from 1 species